UUUUUCUUUGAGAAGGUGACAGUUUCAAAUACUGUCUUUUCAACUUACAACUAUUAUCCUAGCACAUACUAAGUAUACAUCCAAAGAAUGAUCUGUUUCAACUAUCUUGCUAAAGUAAUACUUUAACAAAUGUGCCUAUUGUUACAACAUAAUACUACGGUGCCAACUAAGUCUUGAACAAUGUAAAAUCCCAAAAUAAAAAAGGUCAAAUUAUCAGUCUCAUUUUCAAGUAGAUUGCAUAUACUCCAUCCGUCCCAUUUUAAGUGACACUUUAGCUCUUUUCACGUCUAUUAGGAAAAAUAAUAAAUACAAGGUAUCGUUUACUAAAUUACCCCUAUUUAUUAAGUGCUUUUUGAGUUUGAGCAGUAUUAAAAGUAACUACUUCUUUAACAAUAUUAAGGUUUUAUAAUUGGAAACAAUUGCCAACUUUAAUCUUGAAUUCCUAAAGUGACAAUUUUUUUUUU